GACGAACGCUGGCGGCGUGCCUAAUACAUGCAAGUCGAACGCUGAAGGGAGGAGCUUGCUCUUCUUGGAUGAGUUGCGAACGGGUGAGUAACGCGUAGGUAACCUGCCUUGUAGCGGGGGAUAACUAUUGGAAACGAUAGCUAAUACCGCAUAACAAUGGAUGACACAUGUCAUUUAUUUGAAAGGGGCAAUUGCUCCACUACAAGAUGGACCUGCGUUGUAUUAGCUAGUAGGUGAGGUAAUGGCUCACCUAGGCGACGAUACAUAGCCGACCUGAGAGGGUGAUCGGCCACACUGGGACUGAGACACGGCCCAGACUCCUACGGGAGGCAGCAGUAGGGAAUCUUCGGCAAUGGGGGCAACCCUGACCGAGCAACGCCGCGUGAGUGAAGAAGGUUUUCGGAUCGUAAAGCUCUGUUGUAAGUCAAGAACGGGUGUGAGAGUGGAAAGUUCACACUGUGACGGUAGCUUACCAGAAAGGGACGGCUAACUACGUG
rnacentral:rRNA from 1 species